rnacentral:rRNA from 1 species
GACGAACCGUGCGAACGUUGUUCGGAUUCACUGGGCUUAAAGGGCGCGUAGGCGGGCCACCAAGUCAGGGGUGAAAUCUUUCGGCUCAACCGGAAAAGUGCCUUUGAUACUGGCGGCCUCGAGGGAGGUAGGGGCAUGCGGAACUUCCGGUGGAGCGGUGAAAUGCGUAGAUAUACGGAAGGAACACCUGUGGCGAAAGCGGCUCACUGGACCAUAACUGACGCUGAGGCGCGAAAGCUAGGGGAGCAAACAGG